CCUACGGGAGGCAGCAGUGAGGAAUAUUGGUCAAUGGUCGGGAGACUGAACCAGCCAAGCCGCGGGAGGGAGGAAAGUACAGAGUAUCGUAAAACUCUUUUGUCAGGGAACAAAGACUGGGACGCCUCCCCGGAUGAGUGUACCUGAAGACAAAGCAUCGGCUAAAUCCGUGCCCGCAUCCGCGGUAAGACGGAGGAUGCGAUCGUUAUCCGGAUUUAUUGGGUUUAAAGGGAGCGUAGAAGGGUUGGUAAGUCAGCUGUGAAAGUUUGCGGCUCAACCGUAAAAUUGCAAUUGAUACUGGCAGUCUUGAGUACAGUUGAGGUAGGCGGAAUUCGUGGUGUAGCGGUGAAAUGCUUAGAUAUCACGAAGAACUCCGAUUGCGAAGGCAGCUUACUAAACUGCCACUGACAUUGAUGCUCGAAAGUGUGGGUAUCAAACAGGAUUAGAUACCCUAGUAGUC
rnacentral:rRNA from 1 species